rnacentral:misc_RNA from 1 species
UUCCCAUGCAUGUCGCACCUAAAUUUGAGUAUAACUAUUUCAGAGAAAAACACUGCCCCUUCUGAGAGAUUAUAUCCAGGCAACCCUUGUCAAAAGUUCCCCGCAGACUUCACAUAGAAAACCAUAGCCCUGUCUACAAAAUCUUCUACAGCUCUGAAGUCAUAGUUGCUCUUACCAGAUUGAUCACGUCUACGAAACCAUAAAAUAGGUCAGGCAUCAUCCUCG